AUUGGAGACCCAGAAAAGAGGAGAGACAAUGGGCCAGAGCAGAUAUGCUCAGGUGACUUCCCUUUUCUGUCAGACAAGAUGAUCACUUUCAUGGGGCUCUUGGAAGUGAUUCCACGCUCUACCACUUAGUGGCAGACAUUGUGCCUGAAGGAGUUAGAGAGGAACCAAUAGCAUUUAUCCAUUUCAAAUAAAUAUUUCUUCAAUCAAUACAAUUGAAAUGCUUCAAAAACUUACAUUAUUUUCUAAUGACUACUUCAAAUAAUAAAUUUGACAUCAGUGGUUAGUUACCACAUUAUCCAAAAAGAAACACUCUAAUUAAAUGUAUCAUGCAGGGCCAGGCACAGUAGCUUACACCUGUAAUUCCAGCACUUUGGGAGGCCCAUAACCUUCUUGUACUUGGAUAUUGAUAUUUUUCUCUAGGUUGGGAAGGUUCUCUGUUAUUAUAGUUUUAAAUAAACUUUCUACCCCUAUCUCUUUCUCUACCUCCUCUUUAAAGUCAGUAACUCUUAGAUUUG
rnacentral:lncRNA from 1 species